rnacentral:piRNA from 1 species
UGGUCUAGGUGGAAGGCACACUCA